rnacentral:rRNA from 1 species
GAUGAACGCUGGCGGCGUGCCUAAUACAUGCAAGUCGAGCGAACGGACGAGAAGCUUGUUUCUCGGAUGUUAUCGGCGGACGUGUGAGUAACACGUGGAUCAUCUACCUUUACGACUGGGAUAACUUCGGGAAACCGGCUCUUAUACCAGAUAAUAUUUUGAACCGCAUGGUUCAAUAGAGAAAGACGGUCUUACUGUCACCUAUAGAUCGAUCCGUGCGGCAUUAGCUAGUUGGUAAGGUAACGGCUUACCAAGGCAACGAUGCAUAGCCGACCUAAGAGGGUGAUCGGCCACACUGGAACGGAGCCACGGUCCAGACUCCUACGGGAGGCGGCGGAAGGGAAUCUUCGGCAUUGGGGGAAAGCCUGACGGAGAAACGCCGCGUGAGUGAUGAAGGUCUUCGGAUGGUAAAACUCUGUUAUUAGGGAGGAACAUAUGUGUAAGUAACUGUGCACAUCUUGACGGUACCUAAUCAGAAAGCGACGGCUAACUACGUG